UACGGAGGGUGCAAGCGUUAUCCGGAUUUACUGGGUUUAAAGGGUGUGUAGGCGGACUUUUAAGUCAGCGGUGAAAUCUCCGGGCUCAACCCGGAAACUGCCAUUGAUACUAUUUGUCUUGAAUGUUGUUGAGGUGGGCGGAACGGGUCAUGUAGCGGUGAAAUGCAUGGAUAUGACCCGGAACACCGAUUGCGAAGGCAGCCCACUAAGCAACGAUUGACGCUGAGGCACGAAAGCGUGGGGAUCAAACAGG
rnacentral:rRNA from 1 species